UAUAAAAACCAGUAAAUGUACAUUAGAAUAUCAGUUGGCUUUAAUAAAUCAGUUGCAAUGUACACUGAAUGGGGAAUAAAUUUAAAUGUUCAAAAUUAGAAUUAGCUGAAUAUGCUCACCAACAAAACUUUGUUUUGGAAUGCGGUGACAGUUUUAUUUGUGAUUUAAAGUUUGGGUGACUUAUGGUCAGCUCUCCAUAUCCAUGGGUUCUGCAUCUGCAGGUUCAACCAUUUAUGGAUGGAAAAUGCUCUGGGAUCCAGGGUUGGUUGAACCUGUGGAUUCAAACCUGUGGACUCAAGGGCCAACUGUAAGGGAACUAAGUCUGUGUGGGUUUUGGUAUCUGAGAGAGAGAGGGGGUCCUGGGACUAAUCCCCCGUGGAUAUCAAAAGAUGACUAUAGUUUUAUUUUUUAAAUGGAAUCAAGGUAUGGAGUGAUAAAAUGAGAAUAAUACUAAGGAGGAUGGAAUAUUUGCUAUGUAGCUCAGUGUCUAUGAGAGAAAAAGAAAUACUCACCAAUGGGAGGUGCUGUAGGCGAUUGACGGGGAACCUGAGAGCAGAGCAAUCCAGGAGGUGUUUCCUUGUUCUUUCACAUAGAGAAUAAAUAUUUUCCAUUUGCAUGGCAUUCUGAUUUUAUCUUUAUCAUUCUCUAAGCCAUAUAUACUUGGGAUAGAAGCAAAGAAAAUCUUGCCAGCAAUUCUUGAGAAAAUUGUAAAUAUCAUGAAAUGUCACCCAAACAUACUUUUUACGUAUCCAAAUUUAAUUCUAAAUAGGUAAAUUUGUAUCGAGAGAGUGAAAAUAGCAUUACACUUCUUUGUACCACCGGGUGCCAGAAACCAUUCCAAGAGGUAUCUGUGGGUUAGUUCUUGAGUUUCUUAGCCACCUUGAUUGUUAGUGUGUAUUAUUCUCCAGCAACGCAAUAUAGGUGAAUGCCAAGAACACAGAGCUUUAAUUUCAUAUUUCUUAUUGUUGAGCAGUAUUAGCCUUUGAAUAAAGGUUCAAGGCAUCUCUGGUAGUAUAUAGUAUACACAAGGAAAAAUGUGAAGUCAAAGAUGGAUGUGAUGUAAUUUGUAAAAGUAGGAGCAUUUUUAUUUAUUCACUAUUUCUCUUUGAUCCCCAAAGUAAUACGUAUUUUAAAUUACAGAACUAAGUUCAUACUCUACUUCACCUUCCUAUUUCAUGUUUUGAGCUGACUACACACCUAGCUCAUCCCUGGCUUUCAACUUGGAAUUGUUGCCAUCCCUUAUUCUAGUAUCCUGGCAGAAUCAGUCACAAGACUAUCAUCUUAGCAGAGAGAUGUGACCGAUUGCUUUAAAAAUAAAUGAUACUAGGACUGAAUCAAGAAAGAAGAAGGUUCAUUAAAACCUUGAAGAAGCAGCCUCAUCACUUUCUGCAUAUUGCUCUUGACAAUGCCUGAGAGAUAGCUAUAUAUUAUGUUUAUUUUUAGAGCCAACCAAUCUCUUUUAACACAAACUGCUGGAUAGAGAAAGCCAUAACACUCUCAGAUAGCUCUUAAAUUUAGUGAGAGUGAGCUGAAUUACUUCUUUCUAUUAGGAACUGCUGUCCUAUCCUUCAUUUUGAGCAGAUUUCUUUAAAAUAAACAUAGAGAAAAAAUACUACAUGCUUUGAGCCUAUUGAUACACUUGGUCUUUUAAUGAGUAAUGUAUGUGAACUAAAGGCAUAAUAAAGUAAGCUGACUAAGAGCUAUAUGCAUCUUUUUAAGUGUCUGAAAGGCCAUUGCCAUUUGAUUUUUCUAAUCAAAUUGCUCAGGAUGACUGUUUUACUUCCUGUGUAGAUAGAUAUUUCUGAAGACCUUAAAGCAUCAAGCAUCUCCUUCAAAAUUAAAAUUUUAGAGUAUCAGCUCUUGGCUGUAUUUCCUUUGGAUUCAUUUGAAAGUGUAUUAAGGGAAAAAACUAAGCAGAGGGUUUGACUCCACAAAUCUGUUUUGUUUUUCAAAGUAAAUUAGUACUGAAAAGUGAAAUCAAAGUGUAAGAUUGAAUAGAUUUCAGUGACCAACACAAAAAAGUAAAGAACAUUUCAAAAUAUUUAGUAGUAAUAUAUCAGGAAACAUCUAAAGGGUACUGAAAUUAUUGGAAUUAAGUACAUACAGAAUCAAAGUUCAAGUGAUAAGUGAGAUUUCAAAGAUGACAAGCACCUGCUUCUCUUUCUGUUGUCCACUUUUGUGCACUAUUUUUAUGUCUCUCAUUUUAUCACUAUGAUCUGGUUUCUAUUUAUGGACAUAUGGCUCUUAUUCAAAGCAGCUGAUGCCCUUCUUUUGCAUAUAAGUGGAAGCUAUUCUAAAGCUGCUGCCAUAGAAAGAAUGUGUGUAGACAUGAGGAGGGGGAGAAAUGGUUGUGCUGUCCAGGUGUGUAUUGCUUAAAAAAAACUGGAAAAUAGUAUUGAAAUACGGUAAAUAGGAAAUCUAUGGGAUGGACCCAGAGCUAUAAAAUACUAUUUGCUGGAGGCAGGAUCAAGAUGGCAGAGGAGGAGUAGGAGGAUUCUGAGCUCACUUUCUCCCAUGGACACACCAAACUACAACUAAAUAUAAAACAAGUCUCUCUAAGAAUACUUGAAGACUAGCAGAAGGGCUAUUCUGCAAUGCAGGAGAUAAAGGAAAAAGGACACAUUAAGAUGGGCAAGAGAGGCAGAGUAAUGACCUACAGCCCUGGCGGGUUACCCACGCAUGGAUGCGGAUGUUACUAAGUCAGAGGUCCUUCCUAAGGAGGGAAGGGUCUGAGUUCCAUGUUGGACACCCUACCCUGGGCAUUGGUACUGGGAAGAUGUACCUCCUUAAUUGGUUUUAGAAACUGGCAGGGAUUAUGUCCAGGAGAGCCUGAGGACUGUACAAAUCUGAGAAUCUGCUCCUAAAGGACUUACUCCAAUGCAAAGGCCCUACGAUGAAAAGCUUUCCAAGAAUACCCCAGCAUGAAAACUUAAAGGGCCAUAUAAGACAAGCCCAUAGCUAACAACGUACUCAAUAGCAAAAAAGCUGAAAGUAUUUCUUUUUUUUAAUUUAUUUUUUAUUGUUAUUUCCCCCAACACCCUUUUCCCCCCCACUGUACAGCAUGGGGACCCAGUUAUACAUACAUGUAUACAAUUUUUUUUUCUCCCAUUGUCGUGCUGUGUUAAUAAAACUAGACCAUUUACUCACACCAUAUAUAAAGUCAACUCAAAAUGGAUUAAACAGACUUAAAUGUAAGACUUGGAACCAGAAAUUCUUAGAAGAAAACAUAGUCAGUGUGCUUUUUGACAUCAGUAUUAGUAACGUAUAUGUAUAUAUAUUUUGUAUCUGUCUCCUCAGGAAAAGGGAACAAAAGCAAAAAUAUACAAAUAGGUCACAUCAAAUUACAAAAAAAAAAA
rnacentral:lncRNA from 1 species